rnacentral:lncRNA from 1 species
CACAGGCUCCUUCCUGUGCUAUGUUUCUUACCUCCCUGACCUCUGUGUGUGCGAGCAGACCUAUAAAACCCUUGAAGAGCAGUUCAGCUCUGCUGCUCAGCUGCACUGUAGAAAGCUGGUGCUUCUGCAAAGUGUAACAAUGGCAACAAAAAGCAGAGUGGAGCAGGACUUAAACUCUUCUGACAUCAUGGCUGGAUCUGUGAGAAUUCUCACCACCAGGAAGAGAGCAACAUUUGGCAAGGUGCUUUUGUGCCAAAAAUUGUGACCCUCUUGGCUUUCAUUGGGAUGAAAGGAACUUGGAAUUCUGUCUAUCUAUUGGCCAUUAUUUCAGUAUCACACACAUCACUUGUGGU